rnacentral:rRNA from 1 species
UACGGAGGGAGCGAGCGUUGUCCGAAGUUACUGGGCGUAAAGCGCGCGUAGGCGGGGGAUUAAGUGAGAAGUGAAAGGCUGGGGCUCAACCCCAUGCAGUGCUUCUCAUACUGGUCCUCUUGAGGGCGGUAGAGAGAAGUGGAAUGGCUGGUGUAGCGGUGAAAUGCGUAGAUAUCAGUCGGAACACCGGUGGCGAAGGCGGCUUCUUGGGCCGUUUCUGA